AGGGGCGCUCGGCCUUAUUAAACCUAACCCCUUUCUCUCACAGGGGCAAUCGAUCCCUGACCCGUGUCGCCGGACAGGUCUCCGUUCUCCUCCCCCGCCAGUGCCGGAAAGUCCAUCUCCGCGACCGCUGCCUGGAAACGCUCUUUGAAAAACGGAUUUCACCUUUCCAGGUGCCGGAUUCUGGGGUUCAGGUACCUCCUUGGAGUUAGUGUCGAGGGCCAUCUUUUCUAGCUUCGUUUCCUCCAAGCAAACAGGAAAAAGAAGACGAUCUAUCUUUGAACUGAUUAAGGUGGAUGUUUCAACUGGUAUUUGUGUUGAUUAUUUGACAGAGGAGUUUGUUCGUAUGAUGAUGUAAACCAACUAUUAAUGAAGGCAGUGGAGCAAGUCUUGGUAGGAUCCAUCAGGUGAGAAAUGGCACUUGAAGCAAGCUGCUGAAAUUAUGCAGCUAAAUUGUUUAUGCUCGACUUCCACCUUGAGUUUUGUACUGAGUUUAAUGUUUGUUAUGUUCCAUAUGAUUGUGGAUGUGGUAGGUCCAACAAUAUAAACAUGAACAAGAAUGCAAUGUAAUUGUUGCUCAAACCCUUGAGGGUAAAAUCUCUCAGAUUGA